rnacentral:rRNA from 1 species
AUUGAACGCUGGCGGCAGGCUUAACACAUGCAAGUCGAGCGAGCGGCGGACGGGUGAGCAAUGUCUGGGAAACUGCCUGAUGGAGGGGGAUAACUACGGGAAACGGUAGCAAAUACCGCAUACUAUCAGAUGUGCCCAGAUGGGAUUAGCUAGUAGGUGGGGUACUGGCUCACCUAGGCGAAGAUCCCUAGCUGGUCCGAGAGGAUGACCAGCCAAACUGGAAUUGAGACACGGUCCAGACUCCUACGGGAGUCAGCAGUGGGGAAUAUUGCACAAUGGGCGCAAGCCUGAUGCAGCCAUGCCGCGUGUGUGAAGAAGGCCUUCGGGUUGUAAAGCACUUUCAGCGAGGAGGCGUUACUCGCAGAAGAAGCACCGGCUAACUCCGUGCCAGCAGCCGCGGUAAUAC